UCGUAUGUAUUAAAAUGCAGCAAUGUGUAUAGUUCGUUAUUGAGGAUAACGUGAAGAUUAUUUUAAUUAGGGAAGUAUAUUUCUACGUUAUAGUUAAUUGUAACUGUUUAAUUUCAACUUAUGUUUACAUUAAAAGACAUCCUUAAGCCAACUUUACUAAUAUUGAUCGCUAUUUUCGUGUUAUACAUCUAUAAUCAUCUUGUUAAAGAUUUGAAGCUUUGCUGCGAUAAUACAGCAGAGAAUUAUUCUCAUUAUGAUUUGGUCAUUGGAAUACUUUCAUCGCGCGGCAACUUUGAUUUGUGGCAAAGUUUACGUGAAUCAUGGGUUGGCUAUGCAAGACGACAUUCAUCGCUCAAUAAAAGGCUAAACUCGAAUAUUCACAAGAAAUAACGGUUACGGUACACUUGCCGAAGAUAUCACCAUCUUACAGCUUUCGUACUGAUUGGUUGAUCGAGAGGCAGGAAAAUGAGCCGAGCCUGAAUAUCCGGGCGUGACUUAUCCGACAUUUGCCUGAAGUGCGGGCAGCAUUAUUUCUUCGGAUAUUGUUCACUGGCUGGCAAAAAACGAGAAAUCUCUGAAACGUUAUCAGGGGGAGGAUGUCUCUAUGGGUAUUUGGUUAUCAGCUAUUCCUCCUGAAAUUUAUAAUGCAAGAUCUCCUGUUCUUCCCUGUAAGUUAUUGACAGUUGUUCAACAAGAUCCUUUAUGGUGAUCGUACUCCAACAAUCUUUUUUCAACAUCACGAGGAUUCAAUAGAAACGUUUGACAUGACCGUUAAAAUUUCUUCAUCGGAAACGCUACUACCGUUUGGUAGAGCAAUUAAACGAUCAGCGUUUUUAAUAUCUUCUAUUAAACUUCCACCUCUUUCCUCGCGUGCGAACACGCUACCAUUGCUUGUGAAGCUGUCGGCAACCUUCGACUCCUUUCGACCAAUUUUAUCGGGAGAUCCCGACUCUCGACCACGAGCGCUCUCCGUCUCGCUGUUGAAUCUAGAGUGACGAGUCUCGCUACUCGUGGAAAUGUAGCUGUUCUCUUGUGGACUUCCUUGUUGUCGUCUCUGCUCUCGUUGUUGUUUUUCUUCGCAUGCUGCAAGUUUCGCAGUCAAAUCACGUAUUUCCUCCUGUGAAAAGUGUAAGGAUAAUGAUUUUAAUUUGGGAAUGUCAUUAAUUGAAUAUCAAAUCGUCUUAUUUCA